rnacentral:rRNA from 1 species
GACGAACGCUGGCGGCGUGCUUAACACAUGCAAGUCGUACGGUAAGGCCCUUUCGGGGGUACACGAGUGGCGAACGGGUGAGUAACACGUGCGUAACCUGCCCACAACUUUGGGAUAACGCUAGGAAACUGGUGCUAAUACUGGAUAUGUGCUCCUGCUGCAUGGUGGGGGUUGGAAAGCUCCGGCGGUUGUGGAUGGACUCGCGGCCUAUCAGCUUGUUGGUGGGGUAGUGGCCUACCAAGGCGGCGACGGGUAGCCGGCCUGAGAGGGUGACCGGCCACAUUGGGACUGGGAUACGGCCCAGACUCCUACGGGAGGCAGCAGUGGGGAAUAUUGCACAAUGGGCGCAAGCCUGAUGCAGCAACGCCGCGUGCGGGAUGACGGCCUUCGGGUUGUAAACCGCUUUCAGCAGGGACGAAGCUUUUUGUGACGGUACCUGCAGAAGAAGCACCGGCUAACUACGUG